rnacentral:lncRNA from 1 species
AUGAGUGUUGGAAUUUGUGGGUACGGAGAGACAACAUUUGGACUCUCAGAAAAAAGCUGUAAACUGGGGAACAGGCUGAGGCCCUUUGUGAAGAGAUGGGUUAAAACCAGUGAAGCAGGAGCUAUUCCAGUGUCCAGUGUCCUCAGCUCAUUCUCCCGUGGUGAUGCUGCCAGAGAGCAGAGACCAGCCAUCAGAAGCACAUUAAUUCUGGUCUUUUCUUGUAUCUCUCAAAUAGUGCCCAAAAAAAAGAGACACUGUUUGCACCCCCGGGCUCACUGGUUCAGUCUUUCUCCUUCUUCCCCGGCUUCUCACCACUCCUCAUGCACUGUCAGUGGAAGCCCUGCCUCUACCUGCAAUAGGAAACUGAGCCGAGAGACGGUCCCCUUACGGCCUCUAACCUGCGCAUCUCAGGCACGAGAUCCUCUCCCUUCAGCAUUCCUGCCUUCCUUAUUCCCUGUGUCCUGGGACCUCUGCACACCUUAUCUCCAGCCCUGUUUGGCAUCGACAUUCUAA